rnacentral:rRNA from 1 species
CCUACGGGAGUCAGCAGUGAGGAAUAUUGGUCAAUGGGCGGAAGCCUGAACCAGCCAAGUAGCGUGCAGGAUGACGGCCCUACGGGUUGUAAACUGCUUUUAUACGGGAAUAACGCGCCUUACGUGUAGGGCUUUGCAUGUACCGUAUGAAUAAGGACCGGCUAAUUCCGUGCCAGGAGCCGCGGUAAUACGGAAGGUCCGGGCGGUAUCCGGAUUUAUUGGGUUUAAAGGGAGCGUAGGCCGCAUGUCAAGCGUGCUGUGAAAUGUCCGGGCUCAACCCGGGCCUUGCAGCGCGAACUGGCGUGCUUGAGUCCGCGGAAAGCAGGCGGAAUUCGUCGUGUAGCAGUGAAAUGCUUAGGUAUGACGAAGAACCCCGAUUGCGAAGGCAGCUUGCUGCAGCGGAACUGACGCUGAUGCUCGAAAGCGCGGGUAUCGAACAGGAUUAGAUACCCCUGUAGUC